UACGGAGGGUGCAAGCGUUAUCCGGAUUCACUGGGUUUAAAGGGUGCGUAGGUGGGUUGGUAAGUCAGUGGUGAAAUCCCCGAGCUUAACUUGGGAACUGCCAUUGAUGCUAUUAAUCUUGAAUACCGUGGAGGUUAGCGGAAUAUGUCAUGUAGCGGUGAAAUGCUUAGAUAUGACAUAGAACACCAAUUGCGAAGGCAGCUGGCUACACGAAUAUUGACACUGAUGCACGAAAGCGUGGGGAUCAAACAGG
rnacentral:rRNA from 1 species